rnacentral:rRNA from 1 species
UGGGGAAUAUUGGACAAUGGGCGAAAGCCUGAUCCAGCAAUGCCGCGUGAAUGAUGAAGGCCUUAGGGUUGUAAAGUUCUUUUAGCAGGGAAGAUAAUGACGGUACCUGCAGAAAAAGCCCCGGCUAACUUCGUGCCAGCAGCCGCGGUAAGACGAAGGGGGCUAGCGUUGUUCGGAAUUACUGGGCGUAAAGAGCGCGUAGGUGGUUCGGUAAGUUGGAAGUGAAAGCCCGGGGCUUAACCUCGGAACUGCUUUCAAUACUGCCGGACUAGAGUAUAGUAGGGGAUGAUGGAAUUCCUAGUGUAGAGGUGAAAUUCUUAGAUAUUAGGAGGAACACCGGUGGCGAAGGCGAUCAUCUGGGCUAUAACUGACACUAGUGCGCGAAAGCGUGGGGAGCAAA